rnacentral:rRNA from 1 species
CCUACGGGAGGCAGCAGUGGGGGAUAUUACACAAUGGGGGAAACCCUGAUGCAGCGACGCCGCGUGUGGGAAGACGGUCCUCUGGAUUGUAAACCACUGUCCCCAGGGACGAAGAUGACGGUACCUGGGGAGGAAGCUCCUGCUAACUACGUGCCAGCAGCCGCGGUAAUACGUAGGGAGCGAGCGUUGUCCGGAAUUCCUGGGUGUAAAGGGAGCGUAGGCGGGACUGCAAGUUGGGUGUCAAAUCUACCGGCUCAACCGGUAGCCGCACUCAAAACUGCAGUUCGUGAGUGUAGUAGAGGCAGGCGGAAUGUCUAGUGUAGCGGUGAAAUGCGUAGAUAUUAGGAGGAACACCAGUGGCGAAGGCGGCCUGCUGGGCUUUUACUGACGCUGAGGCUCGAAAGUGUGGGGAGCAAACAGGAUUAGAUACCCUUGUAGUC